AUGAAGCCAAUAUGUGUGGACUCUCUUCACGGUUUAUUUGCCGCUUGGAAGCACAACCGUCACGUGGGGAUGGAACAGGGUGGCUGCUUCAGCGCCGCCUUUGGGACCGGCUGCGGGGACGUCUUCUGCGAUGUUGGGCCCGGGAGCGGCUUGGUGCCCGGGCCGGUCCCCGCUGCCUGGACCGGCUCCCACGGCCUCCUCGGGGCCGGCUGCGGGAAGUCGAAGCGCGACGCCCCACUGGGGAUCGGCUUCGAGUGUGGGCCCGCCCUCGCUGCCUGGAUUGCCUCCUGCGUGCAGGCAGAGGGGAAGCCCUCGAGGACCUCGGUGGUGCUGGUCUGGCCGAGGUGCGAGUGCUGCUCUGAGCACCUCGGGCUGUUGUACGGCUGGUGCCACGGCAUCUUCGGGGCCGACUCUGGGAGCCUGAGGCCCGACCUUGCAAUGGGGAACGGCUUCUUGUGCGGCCAGUCCCCCGCUGCCUGGGAUGCUUUCUGGGUGCAGCUGCCGGGGAUGGCCCCGGUGCCAUCUGGCUGGAAGUGCUGGGGAUGCCGAGGUCGUAGUUGCGGCGGGACGCUGUAGGGAGAGACAGGAAGGUCAGCAGGAUGAACCUCCAGCCCCAGGGCAAGACCGGCUGCCAUCCCCCAUGGGGCACAGAGACUGUGGCAAGGCCACCCUGAGCACCCAUUGCCAGGCCUUGCCUGGCCCCAGUCCCGCGGCACGCAGCUCUUUGCCUCUUACCAAUGGCCUCACCAGCACAGGUAUCGCACUCCCAGGUGCCUCCUCUGCUGUACCAGUAGGAGCAGUACCAGUGCGUGCCAUUUGCGGCACAGGAGCGGCAGAGGAGCAGCUGCCAGAGCCUGGGGAAGCAAAUGGGUUGUGGCUGUGAGGACGAAGUGAACUGAGGCAGGGAGCAGCCAGCAUGGCUCUGCUGCUCAGUCUUUGCUCCCCCAGCCUGUGGUGAGGCUGAGAUCCCACACAGAGCCCCAGAGGACUGCAGAGGUCACUCACCCCUGUUCCUCUGCCUCCUCCCUGCCUCUUCGGUAAUAGCAGAUGCUGACGUCACAGCGCCUGUGCCUUUCUCGCAGCGCCUGGUACGCUUCAUCGUCCCACCAAGAUGGUCGUCUGCCAGAGAAGAGGGGGAAUGUGAUGAGCCCCCGCUACCGUAGGCGUGAGGCAGAUCCAGGGCAUCCCUGCUCAUCCACCUUGAGCUCAUUCCCAGUUUCUCCAUGAAGCUGAGACCAACGCUCGCAGGGUGGCAAGGGACCCGGCCUGCCAGGGCAGCUCCUGGGCAGGCACAGCACCUGCGCCUGAGUGUCCGCAGAGCCGGGCAGAAGGACACUAACCUGACUGGAAUUUGGAUCCCCAGCUUAGCCAUUUUGGCACGGAAUCGCGCUUUUCCUCUGCAGACAGGGCAGACGAAGAGCAUGGUGGCAGCAUGCAUGGCCUGUUUCUGCAGGAGAAGCACAAGCAGCAUGAGCGUGAGCGAGGCUGGGUGCUGCUGAGCACUGGCCGUGCCCACCGGGCGAGGGGAGGGCUCCUACCCUGAUGCAGCCCCGGUGGAACCAGGCCUGUUUGCACGUCGGGCACACCAUGGUGUGGUAGGACGUGCUGUCCCCCACGGGCUCCAGGCAGAUGACGCAGAGAGUGUUGUGAGAUGGAGCUGCCUCCGCUGCCUGCCGAGGGCGAUGCUCACAGCAGAAGGACCUGGGCAGGAGGACAGAAGGGGUGGGCAAGGUGAGAAGUGCUGUGAGGAGGGCAGAGAACCAGGAAGGAGCACCAGGCCUGGGCUGUGGCAGGGUGCUGGGAGGUGUGGCUGCAUGGUCGUCCCUGGGAGGAACAGGGAGGAACGGCAGCUUGGCUGCUGCUGACAGCCCUUACCUGUGCUGCCCAAAGUACUGCGUGACGCAUUCCCCCUUCUCGGCGCAGGGCAGAUGGAAGCUGCGCUCACAGCCUGUCUCUGCGCAGCUGAUGGCAGCUCCCUUCCCACGACAGACAAAGCAGCGCUGGAAAGAGCAAAGCAGCCCCCAUCAGUGAUGGGCUCAGGGCCUCCGCGGCCGGCCCCACUGCUCUGGGCAGGGCACAGGGUGUGGGCACUGCUGCCUCACACUCUGCGGAGCGGCCAGGCAGACAAGGCUCGUUUGCUGUGGUGGGCCUAUGUCCUGGAGCCGGUUGGAAGGGCCGCAAUCACUUUUUCUGGGCCAAGGUGAAGCUGGUGUGAGUCUCUGCCAGCACCAACCUCCCUGUUCUGUUCAGGUCCUCACCUUCUGGUCUGCCAGCUGGAUUGUGUGCUGGAUGGCAUCCGGGGGGAAGCCAAAAAUUCCCCCCGUAGGGCGUUUCCAUUUCAAAAGGCCGUUGGCAAAGAACUGUAGGAGAGAAAAGAGCGGGAUCUCGUGAAGCCAGAAAGCAAG
rnacentral:lncRNA from 7 species